rnacentral:rRNA from 1 species
AGCGAACGCUGGCGGCGUGCUUAACACAUGCAAGUCGAGCGGUAAGGCCCUUCGGGUACACGAGCGGCGAACGGGUGAGUAACACGUGGGUGACCUGCCUCUAGCUCUGGGAUAAGCCUGGGAAACUGGGUCUAAUACCGGAUAUGACUCCACGGCGCAUGUUGUGGGGUGGAAAGCCUUGUGUGGCUAGAGAUGGGCCCGCGGCCUAUCAGCUUGUUGGUGGGGNGAUGGCCUACCAAGGCGACGACGGGUAGCCGGCCUGAGAGGGCGACCGGCCACACUGGGACUGAGACACGGCCCAGACUCCUACGGGAGGCAGCAGUGGGGAAUAUUCCGCAAUGGACGAAAGUCUGACGGAGCGACGCCGCGUGCAGGAUGAAGUCCCUCGGGA